rnacentral:rRNA from 1 species
UGGUGGAGCGAUUUGUCUGCUUAAUUGCGAUAACGAACGAGACUCUGGCCUACUAACUAGAAGACAGUUCUUCGAGACUGUCAUACUUCUUAGAGGGAUAAGGGGAUUGAAGCCCCAACGAGAUUGAGCAAUAACA